rnacentral:tRNA from 1 species
GCUGUGGCUCAGUGGUAGAGCGCUUGCCUAGUAUGUGUGAGGCACUGGGUUCAAUCCCCCACA